rnacentral:lncRNA from 1 species
GUGCAAGGAAAGGCUUGGGUCAGCAGGGAGGCGCCCCAAAGGCUGGGAGGCCGAGCAAGAGACAGAUGCGGGAGUCUGGGGACGCGCGGCAAGGCACUCACGUGCAGGACGUUGCGGCGACUGGACAGGUGGCGGCCGUGCGACAGGGCUGCCCCACGCAGGUCCACGCUACUUUCCGGCCGGCUACCUGCUGGCGCCUGGCCAUUAGGGGAGAAACUGAGCUCUCCCCACCUCCCCUCAGUCAGCCGCGGCCGGAAGCUCCAACUCACCCAGCCAGAGGAAGGCGCCGUCGUCCGCGGAGGCGGCUCCCGGUAGAACAUCAGGCUGUUACCCGCCAACACCACCCAAGCCGGGGCCCAGUUCUUCCUGCGCGGGCGGAGCGGGGCGAUCACGGUUGUGAAAAGUCAUCGUAGAAUUGCCCGCAGCGAGAGCUUCCGCGACACCCGGCUCUACCCUGUGGAAUCCGGCAGCCCAAAUCUCCUCACCUGAGCUUGCGUCCCCCUUGGGCAAUUUUGGUCAUGUUGAGCAGGCCCGACUUUUCCACUUCCUGGGAAUGGAAGGGAGUCUUAUCUGUAAACCACCCCGUGCCGCCCACCGCCUACGACAACUUUCCCUCAGGCAUCUCCCAGGAGUGAGGUCCCUUAAAGCUGGGGGUGGGGGAGCUGGAUAAAAAAGGAUACCCAGAAAGAGGAAGAUGUUUUUGAGGAGCAGGAAUAGGGGGUGGGGCGGGGAGGCUCUAGGCAUUCAAAGGACAGGGAGACUCACAUAGGGGUCUUCCAGGAGCUGCGGCAGACCUCGGGGGCGCUGUAAGGCUGGAGGCUGGUCUGAGGGGAGGAGCUGGGAGCUGCAUUGGCCUAGGCAGGGUGAACCCUGGGGGAGGGAUUGAAGAAACUGGUGGAGGAACUCUCAAUUUGAGGGUCCCUGGCUAUAGGAGAAAGAAGGGUGCAGAUAUGGGUGAAAGCAGGGGUGUUAUGGGUGUUGAAGGUCUUUUCAUAAAAGAG